CUACGGGAAGCAGCAGUAGGGAAUCUUCCACAAUGGACGCAAGUCUGAUGGAGCAACGCCGCGUGAGUGAAGAAGGUUUUCGGAUCGUAAAGCUCUGUUGUUGGUGAAGAAGGAUAGAGGCAGUAACUGGUCUUUAUUUGACGGUAAUCAACCAGAAAGUCACGGCUAACUACGUGCCAGCAGCCGCGGUAAUACGUAGGUGGCAAGCGUUGUCCGGAUUUAUUGGGCGUAAAGCGAGCGCAGGCGGAAUGAUAAGUCUGAUGUGAAAGCCCACGGCUCAACCGUGGAACUGCAUCGGAAACUGUCAUUCUUGAGUGCAGAAGAGGAGAGUGGAAUUCCAUGUGUAGCGGUGGAAUGCGUAGAUAUAUGGAAGAACACCAGUGGCGAAGGCGGCUCUCUGGUCUGCAACUGACGCUGAGGCUCGAAAGCAUGGGUAGCGAACAGGAUUAGAUACCCUGGUAG
rnacentral:rRNA from 1 species